UUUUCAAAUUAUUUUUUUUUAUUUUCUACUGAAAAAUUGAGGAAAUCGGACGUGUCAAAUUUAUUUAAAUUUUAAUUUCCGAAAGUUUAUAAAAUUGCAAUCUAGUAGAGACUAUUUUAUCAAGGAAAUACCGUUUGUCCGCUUGUAUCUGAAGCAAUUCUAUUGCAAAUUCCAAAUUUCAUUUAUAUAUUUGCAUCAUUCAUCUACAAAAGAUCAGAAAUGUCCUAUUUUGUUAUUGGGACUGGACCCCGGAAUCUUUUACCAGGCUUUAAGUACAGAUUCCAAUCAAGGAGGGGUCAGAUUGGCCUGGUCCUCGGUUCUGCCUUUGGUAAAGGGGAUUCAGCAUUCAAACAAAAUUCUUUACUUAAUUUGGAUGCGACUUCAUGACGAUUGGAAUAUAUUCCAAAGAGAAGCAAAACGGCUUCCAAAAAUCGCAUAUUUGGAAUAUAGCGUCGAAUUAAUGGAAUUAAUUGCCUGAAAAAACCACAAAUAGCGUUUGCGAUCAAAAAUGGGCCAUCAAUUUAUACCAUAGACUGUUUAUUUGCCUCGAUGGCGCUCGCCAUUACAAUUGUUAUCUAUUAAGUUCAUACCCUGCAAUACAAUAUUUACUUCCUCCAUAAUACACACAUAUAUCAAAUUUUGAAAACAAGGAAUAACGAAAGGUUAAUUCCCAUAAUUGACGUACAAAAUUUACAUAUUGAGCUUUGCAUUGGUAAAUCAAUUUCCACAUUUGGAUUUAGAAAUGGGACUCCAUCCCGAAGUCAUCAGGCCUGGCGACGUCGUGGGAUCACAAAAUGGAGUCAAAACCUUUGAAUAAAUGUAAAAGCUCAAUUUCUCAAUUUUGCCAGACAAACAUUGUAACUUAACUUUGAACUUGUAAUCUCACAUCAAUAUUGAUGCAGGGAAAAACUUUUGUUUAUAUAUCAAUCUUAUAUGUGACCAUUGUUAUUCUUUGUCCACUAUUUAUAUUGAAUACACUUUUUUUAUUAUUAUUAAUUAAACCCUAAAUUAUCUAAAAUUCACUUCACUCAAAAUUAUUUCCUUCUUAAUCUUAAAAACAAUAUAUAAACAUUUUAAGACACUUAAUUCAUUUUACAUAUCCAUACGUCAAACACAUUACAUAGUUAUAAAGGGUGAUUUUUUUGAGGUUAGGAUUUUCAUGCAUUAGUAUUUGACAGAUCACGUGGGAUUUCAGACAUGGUGUCAAAGAGAAAGAUGCUCAGUAUGCUUUGACAUUUCAUCAUGAAUAGACUUACUAACGAGCAACACUUGCAAAUCAUUGAAUUUUAUUACCAAAAUCAGUGUUCGGUUCGAAAUGUGUUCAUUCACCGUAACGUUGCGUCCAACAGCAUCUUUGAAAAAAUACGGUCCAAUGAUUCCACCAGCGUACAAACCACACCAAACAGUGCAUUUUUCGGGAUGCAUGGGCAGUUCUUGAACGGCUUCUGGUUGCUCUUCACUCCAAAUGCGGCAAUUUUGCUUAUUUACGUAGCCAUUCAACCAGAAAUGAGCCUAAUCGCUGAACAAAAUUUGUCAAAAUUUGAACACAUUUCGAACCGAACACUGAUUUUGGUAAUAAAAUUCAAUGAUUUGCAAGCGUUGCUCGUUAGUAAGUCUAUUCAUGAUGAAAUGUCGAAGCAUACUGAGCAUCUUUCUCUUUGACAUCAUGUCUGAAAUCCCACGUGAUCUGUCAAAUACUAAUGCAUGAAAAUCCUAACCUCAAAAAAAUCACUCUUUAUAAGGAUUAUUAUUGUUUUAUUGAUUAAAUAUAGUUUAGUAUAAUGUUUUAGAAA